AUCACUGCUCAGCCUUUUCGCUAAGAUCAAGUGUAGUAUGUGUUCUUAUUAGUUUAAUAUCUGAUAUAUCCUCUAUCCAAGGGUAAUAUAUUAAAUAUGUUACUGGAGCUGCAAGUUGGAAUAGGAGCUUACUUCAUCCACUCCAUGCAUUGACCUAGUAUCGCAGUACAUCCAAUAACAGGAGCCCCAC
rnacentral:snRNA from 1 species